CGAGUCAUUGUAGCAAUACAAGGCAGACGGCUCAGUAACGCGUAGUCAAUCUACCCUAUGGACGGGAAUAAUCUCGGGAAACUGAGAAUAAUGCCCGAUAGAACAUUAUGCCUGGAAUGGUUUAUGUUUCAAAUGAUUUAUCGCCAUAGGAUGGGACUGCGGCCUAUCAGUUUGUUGGUGAGGUAAUGGCCCACCAAGACUAUUACAGGUACGGGCUCUGAGAGGAGUGGCCCGGAGAUGGGUACUGAGACACGGACCCAGGCCCUAUGGGGCGCAGCAGGCGAGAAAACUUUGCAAUGUGCGAAAGCACGACAAGGUUAAUCCGAGUGGUUUCUGCUAAAGAAACCUUUUGUCAGUCCUAGAAACACUAACGAAUAAGGGGUGGGCAAGUUCUGGUGUCAGCCGCCGCGGUAAAACCAGCACCUCAAGUGGUCAGGAUGAUUAUUGGGCCUAAAGCAUCCGUAGCUCGUUUUGUAAGUUUUCGGUUAAAUCCAUGCGCUUAACGUAUGGGCUGCCGGGAAUACUGCAUAACUAGGAAGUGGGAGAGGUAGACGGUACUCGGUAGGAAGGGGUAAAAUCCUUUGAUCUAUUGAUGACCACCUGUGGCGAAGGCGGUCUACCAGAACACGUUCGACGGUGAGGGAUGAAAGCUGGGGGAGCAAACCGGAUUAGAUACCCGGGUAGUCCCAGCUGUAAACUAUGCAGACUCGGUGAUGGACUAGCUUAAUGCUAGUCCAGUGCCGCAGGGAAGCCGUUAAGUCUGCCGCCUGGGUAGUACGGUCGCAAGACUGAAACUUAAAGGAGUUGGCGGGGGAGCACCA
rnacentral:rRNA from 1 species